AGUGGUUAAGCACUAGGCUGCUAACCCAAAGGUUGGUGGUUCAAAUCCACCAGCCACUC
rfam:Loxodonta africana unplaced genomic scaffold scaffold_54, whole genome shotgun sequence.